rnacentral:rRNA from 1 species
UACGAAGGGUGCAAACGUUGCUCGGAAUUAUUGGGCGUAAAGCGCACGUAGGCGGCAUUGCAAGUCGGAUGUGAAAUCUUAUGGCUUAACCAUAAAAGUGCAUCCGAAACUGCAGUGCUUGAGUACUUAAGAGGAUCGCGGAAUUCCUGGUGUAGCGGUGGAAUGCGCAGAUAUCAGGAGGAACACCAAUAGCGAAGGCAGCUCGCUGGGACGGUACUGACGCUAAGGCGCGAAAGCGUGGGGAGCAAACAGG